rnacentral:rRNA from 1 species
GAUGAACGCUGGCGGCGUGCCUAAUACAUGCAAGUCGAGCGAACAGACGAGGAGCUUGCUCCUCUGACGUUAGCGGCGGACGGGUGAGUAACACGUGGAUAACCUACCUAUAAGACUGGGAUAACUUCGGGAAACCGGAGCUAAUACCGGAUAAUAUAUUGAACCGCAUGGUUCAAUAGUGAAAGACGGUUUUGCUGUCACUUAUAGAUGGAUCCGCGCCGCAUUAGCUAGUUGGUAAGGUAACGGCUUACCAAGGGAACGAUACGUAGCCGACCUGAGAGGGGAGGCGGCCACCCCGGAACGGAAACCGGGCCCGGACCCCAACGGGAGGGGAGGGAGGGGAAUGUUACGCAAGGGGAGAAACCCUAGCGGGAAACAGCCGGGGGGGGGGUAAGAGUUUUGGGAUACGAAAACUAUUUUAUUGGGAAAAAAGAAAAGAGUAAGAAACGUGGACCGUUUGGAAGGUACUUAAAGAAAAAGCAACGGCGAACUACGU